UUCUUCAAGUUUUGACUUUUAUUUUUGUAUCCACCAUAAAAACAUACAUGUUUGAUAUAUGGCAUUUGAUGGACUUUUUUCAACCUACAUGAUUGUGAUUAUAAAUCAGUGCAUUUUCCGUGGUGGUUAAGUCUCUAUAUUAGACAUUUAAAGUCCAUUUUUAAACAGAGUAAAAAAAUCUAACAUGGUAAUUUAUUUAUUUCUUGUUCGUGUACACACAAGUCUAUAAACGCAUCAUGUUGACUUAUUCAUUUUAAUCACAGCAGUUCUUUAUACCUACUACUGCUCAGACGUCUCGGUUUGAGAUAAGACAUAGAAAUGAUUUAGCCUACUCCUGUGUCAAAUGGGAAACAUAUUUAGACUUUGCAUUUCUCUGUCUUGAAUGAUUCACCCCAAGUAGCUCCAUAAAUGCUGUUUUGAUAGGAAUCUAAAUACAAUUGCAACAGAUGGUGGUAAUGAGAAAAAACAUCAACUAAUAAUUUAGGAAAAUAACAAUGCCUUCAUUUUUGCCUAGUGUUGUGCUCAACAAGUAGUCAUAAAUAAUGCAUAAUUAAAAACAAAUACAAUCACAAUUAUUAUUUAACUUUCAAUUAAUCAACAAAUAGAAACAACUGUGAAUAUCAUAAACCAUAGUAUUCCACUUUUAUGUAUACUCCACGCUAAUAUUAAAUGAGCCAUGGAAACAUUUGUGCACCAAGAACCUUGGUAAAUGUUAAAAUACUCUUUGUAACAAAUGACUAAAAUACUGACAAUUUCUAAUUUGUAUCCACUACUGCAUUAAUCUUUGCAGAAUUGGUCUCAAAUGGCAAUAAUGUAUGAGCUGCUGUACCAAAUAAAGGACAUAAUGUGUGCUUUGGAUAUUUUUUAGCAUUCCAGUAACAAAAUACUUUAAAUUACCUGUCAGUGAAAAAUUACCUAUCUAUGAAUAAAUUAACUAUAGUGAAUUCGAAUGAGCUUACAUAAUGUGACCUAUAGUCUUUUAGAUUGUACGAGGCAUAUUCUAAUGCAUUUUUUAGCAUAUUGUAUAUAUACCUUGCUUCAGUGUAUUCAGCUUGUUUUAUUUCUUUUUUUUUUUAUAAAACAUAUCUUGUACAUGUUUUGCUAAAAUGUGCGCAGGUCCCAUUUUCUCCCAAGUAUGAAAAGUAUAUAUCCAGGAAAUAUAAAGGCAUGCAUUGUCUUUAUACCAGCAUGUAUAAAAUGUAAAUGCCUACAUGAUAAUUUUCCAAGAAAGCGAUUCAAACUUUUUUUGCCUUAUUUUGGAUCAACAGCAAAAACAGAUGUGAGGCUGAACUUGAUGAACACGUCUCUUUUUAGCCUAUGUAAUUAUGCAACUAAGAAGAAACCUAUUGAAAAGUAAGGAUACUAGAUCCUAAACGUACCAGGAGAUGACUUGUGAGAAAUAUAAAAGCUAAUAAUUGGGCUAAAACAGAUAUACAAUGGUAUAAGUAUAACAGAUACAAAUAGUACAUAAAUAAAAUCAAAUAACAGACACAUAAUACAAAAUGUCCAGGAAAAGUGAUGCCCCUGCUAGUGAAGUGGGGGACAAUUAACUAAGUAGUGGACCAGUAAAAAAAAAUAAAGAAUAAUGAAAAAAUAUAUAAAUAAAAAUAAUAUAUGCAAGAUAUAAAAAUUAACAAAAAAGCAACAGCAUCUGAUAUGUCACAUCAAAGUGUUGCUCAAAGUCAUAGGAUUCAAACUGGUAGAAUUUACCAUCAAAUAAAGUCCAUAAAAGUAACAGUAGUGAAAACAGUUGUAGCAAUGUUUUAAUGUAACUAUGUGUCAGCUAUCUGGAUACACAACUCCUGUAAUUGAGUAACAUGAGCAGCAAUUUAUGCAAGGCUGAUUUAAUAUGACCUACGGUGCAGAAUGAAAAAUAGGUGUCAAAUAGUCUGGUAUUAGCACAUCAUUUGCCACAGUAGAAACAAUACAAGGUCUUAGAUCACAGUGACAGAUCUAGAGUGGCAGGAUCUUCACUAUGUUCUGAAAAAUAAAAUAAACAGCCAUAGUGCUCUCUAUUAAAACGUGAUUUAUUUAUCAAAAUAUUGAGCAUGUAUAGAGAAAUCUGAAACUGCAGGAUAGGGGGAUAAAGUGGAUCGGUGCUGAUGCUCCCUCUGGCCGGCUUAGAGGAGGUGAUGCGCAGAGACUGAUGGUGAAGUCUUCCCGUGCGUUCCACUUUGUCCAAAGCCUGGGUUACACUUAAACCCGAUAACAGAAUGAUCCUACAGGAAAUGCCGUAAAGCCUUAUGUUUCGUGACUCAACAAUGUCACUUCAUCAGAGGCUAAAACUAGAUGGAUCUAUCUAGCGUACAUUUAUAGCACAUAAAUCCGCCAUAUACAAGCGGCAGCUGUAUCGACAGGGAAUGCCCACCUGCCAACGUCAAGGCAGACCCCCCUAAGCGAUCCUACACUGACUAAUAAUAAUUUUUAACCUUAUGAAAAUAUGGCAGAGAGUACUGUAAAGUACUGCAACGAUAUCUCCACUGAGACAGAGAGGGGUAUUUUGUUCCCUAUUAAGGGUUAAUAAGUAUAUAGGAGUGUAUAUAAAAAAUACCCCUCUCUGUCUCUGUGGAAAUAU
rnacentral:lncRNA from 1 species